rnacentral:rRNA from 1 species
GCUUGCAUAUAUGACCCCUACCACAGGGCUGCCGGCUCAUUGGCAUCUCUACAACGGCUCCACUCGCGGCCGCCUCGAUGUCCUGGCUCCUUGCAGUCCUUCCGGGGCUCAGGCUUCCCGCUGGCGGCGUGGCUCAUCCCUGGCAAGUCUAACUCAAUCAUCUUCGCUGAUGCUCUUCGUCAAAUCUUGAAAUCUCUUAGUGGCGGACGGGUGAAUUAACGCGUGGGUUAACCUGCCUUUAACAGGGGGAUUAACAGUUAUAAAUGACUGCUAAUACCGCAUAAGCGCACAAUACCGCAUGGUAUAGUGUUGAAAAGAAUUUAUCGGUGUAAACAUGGACCCGCGUCUGAUUAGCUAGUUGGUGAAGGUAACGGCCCACCAAGGCGAACAUCAGUAGCCGGCCUGAGAGGGUGAACGGCCACAUUGGGAAUGAGACACGGCCCAAACUCCUACGGGAGGCAGCAGUAGGGAAUAUUGGACAAUGGGGGCAACCCUGAUCCAGCGACGCCGCGUGAGUGAAGAAGUAUUUCGGUACGUAAAGCUCUAUCAGCAGGGAAGAAAAUGACGGUACCUGACUAAGAAGCACCGGCUAAAUACGUGCCAGCAGCCGCGGUAAUACGUAUGGUGCAAGCGUUAUUCGGAUUUACUGGGUGUAAAGGGAGCGUAGACGGCAUAGCAAGUCUGAAGUGAAAUGCGGGGGCUCAACCCCUGAACUGCUUUGGAAACUGUUAAGCUAGAGUGUCGGAGAGGUAAGUGGAAUUCCUAGUGUAGCGGUGAAAUGCGUAGAUAUUAGGAGGAACACCGGUGGCGAAGGCGGCUUACUGGACGAUAACUGACGUUGAGGCUCGAAAGCGUGGGGAGCAAACA